GAUGAAGAACGCAGCGAAAUGCGAUACUUGGUGUGAAUUGCAGAAUCCCGUGAACCAUCGAGUCUUUGAACGCAAGUUGCGCCCGAAGCCAUUAGGCCGAGGGCACGCCUGCCUGGGUGUCACACACCGUUACCCUCGCGCCAACGUCCAUCGUUGGCCGCGGCGCGGGGCGUGCGCUGACCUCCCGCGAGCGGGGUCUCGUGGUUGGUUGAAAAUCGAGUUCGCGGUCGAGGGUGCCGUGAUGAAAUGGUGGAUGGGCGACGCCCGAGGCCAAUCACGCGCGACUCUGUCCGGCCCGGACUCCUGGACCCCUUCGGCGUCUCCGGACGCUCUUUGGCGAGACCUCAGGUCAGGCGGGGCUACCCGCUGAGUUUAAGCAUAUCAAUAAGCGGAGGA
rnacentral:misc_RNA from 1 species